rnacentral:rRNA from 1 species
AGUGGACGCUGGCGGUAGGCCUAACACAUGCAAGUCGAACGGCAGCACAGUAAGAGCUUGCUCUUACGGGUGGCGAGUGGCGGACGGGUGAGGAAUACAUCGGAAUCUACUUUUUCGUGGGGGAUAACGUAGGGAAACUUACGCUAAUACCGCAUACGACCUGCGGGUGAAAGCAGGGGAUCUUCGGACCUUGCGCGAUUGAAUGAGCCGAUGUCGGAUUAGCUAGUUGGCGGGGUAAAGGCCCACCAAGGCGACGAUCCGUAGCUGGUCUGAGAGGAUGAUCAGCCACACUGGAACUGAGACACGGUCCAGACUCCUACGGGAGGCAGCAGUGGGGAAUAUUGGACAAUGGGCGCAAGCCUGAUCCAGCCAUACCGCGUGGGUGAAGAAGGCCUUCGGGUUGUAAAGCCCUUUUGUUGGGAAAGAAAAGCAGCAGGUUAAUACCCCGCUGUUCUGACGGUACCCAAAGAAUAAGCACCGGCUAACUUCGUG